rnacentral:rRNA from 1 species
AUUGAACGCUGGCGGCAGGCCUAACACAUGCAAGUCGAGCGAGCGGCGGACGGGUGAGUAAUGCCUGGGAAUUGCCCAGUCGAGGGGGAUAACAGUUGGAAACGACUGCUAAUACCGCAUACGAUUGGAUUGCCCAGGUGGGAUUAGCUAGUUGGUGAGGUAAUGGCUCACCAAGGCGACGAUCCCUCGCUGGUCUGAGAGGAUGAGCAGCCACACUGGAACUGAGACACGGUCCAGACUCCGACGGCAGGCAGGAGUGGGGUAUAUUGCACAAGGGGGGAAACACUGAGCCAGCCAUGCCGCGUGUGUGAAGAAGGUCUUCGGAUUGUAAAGCAGUUUAAGUUGGGAGGCGUUACCAACAGAAUAAGCACCGGCUAACUUCGUGCCAGCAGCCGCGGUAAUAC